ACUUAGCUCAGUUGGUAGAGCAUCUGACUGUUAAUCAGGUUGUCGCCGGUUCGAGCCCGGCAG
rnacentral:tRNA from 1 species